ACCUCGAAUCAGGUAGGACUACCCGCUGAACUUAAGCAUAUCAAUAAGCGGGAGGAA
rnacentral:rRNA from 1 species